GUCUGAGAUAAUGAAAGCAAAUGAAGUAAUGAACUAUAUAUUCAACAAACUAGUUUGCAUUUGCUAAAGUUACUGCUGUAGUUAUCUGUAUCAUAUAGAGUCACUGUACAUAUGUGCAAAACCAUUGACAGUCCUUUACAAAACUGAAAAAGCGAUGAAGGUUGAAUCAUCAAAGACUAUAAAUUCAUCAUUGGAUUAUCAAAUAUUAGUAUGACCUUCAUUUCCUUCUCUACUUUAUUAUGUAUUUGCAUCAUAAUACGUGAUAUUUUCGUAAACUAUAAACAGUGCCACCCAUAAUGAUUUAAAACAAUUAAACUACCUAGAAGGUAAAAAUUAUGUAUCAAGUCACUUAUAUGAGGAUUUUUUUUAGGUUCAUAGGAAUUUGAGAUGGCGUAAAGCCGCAAACAAUGGUGGGGGUACAGUUUCUUACUGAAAAGUUAAAACACACAUGCACAAGCUCAGGGCCUCUAAAAACCAUCUUUCCUUGGUCCACCCCUCUCACCAGGGUUUUGAAGAUCAAUUUUGGCG
rnacentral:lncRNA from 1 species